UCACAUUUUACAAGCUGAAUUCCCCCCUCCUCAACAAUUGGACUGCAUCAGUUCCUGCUAUCUCCCCGCUCGAAGAAGGUGGCAAGUGAGCUGAGAAGGGGCCAGCCUGUGCAGGGGCAUUUGGAUGGGGGAAGGGCAUGUCUGCUGGCAACGAGGGUGAGUAGAUCAGUGCGGCUCAGUGUCUGUGAGGCGGUGAUAAGAUUCCAGGAUUUUCCCAGUGUGACAGGCCUGCUCACCAAGCCGUACACCCCUCUGCAUGGAGACAGCCACCACCACCACCUGCCCCCCUCCUCCACUCCUCGGCUGCUACACCCCAGCAGGCAGGAGCCACUCUCACCUGCAACCACACCCAAAACCUCCUCACCCCAAACUGAAAAUCCUAAUCUGACUCGUGUCGCCUCGUUUCUCUGUUUCAGUCCCCCCCCUCCCCACUCCCUCUCCCUUGGAUGGCAGGUCAGGCAGUGAGCUGUGCGGGCUCAGAGGAGCCAGUGUCUGUUCCGGAGACAAUCCAGGAGUUGGCAUUGCACUUGAUGGCAGAGCUUUGGG
rnacentral:lncRNA from 1 species